UUUAAGAUUCUUAAGUUGAUUUGAGUUGUCGAUUAGCAUUCCGCUUUGUGUUUUGAGCCUUUGGAUAAGUUCAUACAGAAUAUUUGGGGUUGUUGGGAUGAUUUGAAAGGGUCCCCAACACUCGGGUGAGUUUCGGGGUGUUAAGGGAAGGUUUUUUAAAACAAAAACCAGCAAUAAAUUUGCAGCAGCACCCAUUUCAGCCAUUUUCUGUACUUUCAGCCACUUUUCCACACGUAAAUAACCUAA
rnacentral:lncRNA from 1 species